rnacentral:rRNA from 1 species
GAUGAACGCUGGCGGCGUGCCUAAUACAUGCAAGUCGAGCGAACGGACGAGAAGCUUGCUUCUCUGAUGUUAGCGGCGGACGGGUGAGUAACACGUGGAUAACCUACCUAUAAGACUGGGAUAACUUCGGGAAACCGGAGCUAAUACCGGAUAAUAUUUUGAACCGCAUGGUUCAAAAGUAAAAGACGGUCUUGCUGUCACUUAUAGAUGGAUCCGCGCUGCAUUAGCUAGUUGGUAAGGUAACGGCUUACCAAGGCAACGAUGCAUAGCCGACCUGAGAGGGUGAUCGGCCACACUGGAACUGAGACACGGUCCAGACUCCUACGGGAGGCAGCAGUAGGGAAUCUUCCGCAGUGGGCGAAAGCCUGACGGAGCAACGCCGCGUGAGUGAUGAAGGUCUUCGGAUCGUAAAACUCUGUUAUUAGGGAAGAACAUAUGUGUAAGUAACUGUGCACAUCUGGACGGUACCUAAUCAGAAAGCCACGGCUAACUACGU